AGAGUUUGAUGGUGGCUCAGAAUCAACGCUGGCGGCGUGCCUAACACAUGCAAGUCGAACGAGAAAGGGGAGCAAUCCCUGAGUACAGUGGCGACCGGGUGAGUAACACGUGACUACCUGCCUUCGAGUGGGGAAUAACUCCGGGAAACCGGGGCUAAUACCGCAUAACAUCGCAAGAUCAAAGCAGCAAUGCGCUUGAAGAGGGGGUCGCGGCUGAUUAGCUGGUUGGUAGGGUAACGGCCUACCAAGGCGAAGAUCGGUAUCCGGCCUGAGAGGGCGCACGGACACACUGGAACUGAAACACGGUCCAGACUCCUACGGGAGGCAGCAGUGGGGAAUUUUGCGCAAUGGGGGAAACCCUGACGCAGCAACGCCGCGUGGAGGAUGAAGCCCUUUGGGGCGUAAACUCCUUUCGACCGGGACGAUAAUGACGGUACCGGUGGAAGAAGCACCGGCUAACUCUGUGCCAGCAGCCGCGGUAAUACAGAGGGUGCGAGCGUUGUUCGGAAUUAUUGGGCGUAAAGGGCGCGUAGGCGGUCGGGUAAGUCACCUGUGAAACCCCCAGGCUUAACUUGGGGCCUGCAGGCGAAACUGCCUGGCUGGAGUAUGGGAGAGGUGCGUGGAAUUCCCGGUGUAGCGGUGAAAUGCGUAGAGAUCGGGAGGAACACCUGUGGCGAAAGCGGCGCACUGGACCAUAACUGACACUGAGGCGCGAAAGCUAGGGGAGCAAACAGGAUUAGAUACCCUGGUAGUCCUAGCCCUAAACCAUGAUGGCUUGGUGUGAGCGGUAUCCAAUCCGCUUGUGCCGCAGCUAACGCGAUAAGCCAUCCGCCUGGGGGAGUACGGUCGCAAGG
rnacentral:rRNA from 1 species